rnacentral:rRNA from 1 species
AGCUUGCUUCCUGGUGGCGAGCGGCGGACGGGUGAGUAAUGCAUAGGAAUCUACCCGGUAGUGGGGGAUAACCUGGGGAAACCCAGGCUAAUACCGCAUACGUCCUACGGGAGAAAGCAGGGGCUCUUCGGACCUUGCGCUAUCGGAUGAGCCUAUGUCGGAUUAGCUGGUUGGUGAGGUAAUGGCUCACCAAGGCGACGAUCCGUAGCUGGUCUGAGAGGAUGAUCAGCCACAUCGGGACUGAGACACGGCCCGAACUCCUACGGGAGGCAGCAGUGGGGAAUAUUGGACAAUGGGCGCAAGCCUGAUCCAGCCAUGCCGCGUGUGUGAAGAAGGCCCUCGGGUUGUAAAGCACUUUCAGUGGGGAAGAAAGCCUGCCGGCUAAUACCCGGGAGGAAGGACAUCACCCACAGAAGAAGCACCGGCUAACUCCGUGCCAGCAGCCGCGGUAAUACGGAGGGUGCGAGCGUUAAUCGGAAUUACUGGGCGUAAAGCGCGCGUAGGUGGCUUGAUAAGCCGGUUGUGAAAGCCCCGGGCUCAACCUGGGAACGGCAUCCGGAACUGUCAGGCUAGAGUGCAGGAGAGGAAGGUAGAAUUCCCGGUGUAGCGGUGAAAUGCGUAGAGAUCGGGAGGAAUACCAGUGGCGAAGGCGGCCUUCUGGACUGACACUGACACUGAGGUGCGAAAGCGUGGGUAGCAAACAGGAUUAGAUACCCUGGUAGUCCACGCC